rnacentral:rRNA from 1 species
UACGGGGGGAGCGAGCGUUGUUCGGAUUUACUGGGCGUAAAGGGCGCGUAGGCGGCCACUGCAAGUCAGUUGUGAAAUCUCCGGGCUUAACCCGGAAAGGUCAACUGACACUGCAGGGCUAGAGUGCAGAAGGGGCAACUGGAAUUCUCGGUGUAGCGGUGAAAUGCGUAGAUAUCGAGAGGAACACCUGCGGCGAAGGCGGGUUGCUGGGCUGACACUGACGCUGAUGUGCGAAAGCCAGGGGAGCGAACGGG